rnacentral:rRNA from 1 species
CAAGAGGUUAUAAAUAAUCCCUACGUCCUAGCUCGGAUUUGGAAGUAAAAAGCGUAACAAGGUUUCCGUAGGUGAACCUGCGGAAGGAUCAUUAUUGAUUUUAUCUAUUUCUGUGGAUUUCUAUUCUAUUACAGCGUCAUUUUAUCUCAAUUAUAACUAUCAACAACGGAUCUCUUGGCUCUCACAUCGAUGAAGAACGCAGCGAACCGCGAUAUUUUUUGUGACUUGCAGAUGUGAAUCAUCAAUCUUUGAACGCACAUUGCGCGGUAUGGCAUUCCGUACCGCACGGAUGGAGGAGCGUGUUCCCUCUGGGAUCGCAUUGCUUUCUUGAAAUGGAUUUUUUUAAACUCUCAAUUAUUACGUCAUUCACCUCCGUCAUCCACGUCGCGAGCUUAU